rnacentral:rRNA from 1 species
GCGCGAAAACUUUACAAUGCUGGCAACAGCGAUAAGGGAACCUCGAGUGCCAGGUUACAAAUCUGGCUGUCGAGAUGCCUAAAAAGCAUUUCAUAGCAAGGGCCGGGCAAGACCGGUGCCAGCCGCCGCAGUAACGCCGGCGGCUCGAGUGGUAACCGUUAUUAUUGGGUCUAAAGGGUCUGUAGCCGGCCGGAUAAGUCUCUUGGAAAUCUGGCAGCUCAACUGUCAGGCUUUCAGGAGAUACUGUCUGGCUCGAGGCCGGGAGAGGUGAGAGGUACUUCAGGGGUAGGGGUGAAAUCUUGUAAUCCUUGAAGGACCACCAGUGGCGAAGGCGUCUCACCAGAACGGACCUGACGGCAAGGGACGAAAGCUAGGGGCACGAACCG